GAGUUUGAUCCUGGCUCAGGAUGAACGCUGGCGGCGUGCCUAACACAUGCAAGUCGAACGAAGCAUAUAGAAGGAAGUUUUCGGAUGGAAUUUUAUAUGACUUAGUGGCGGACGGGUGAGUAACGCGUGGAUAAUCUGCCUUACACAGCGGGAUAACAAGUGGAAACAGUUGCUAAUACCGCAUAAGCACACAGUAUCGCAUGAUACAGGGUGAAAAGAUUUAUCGGUGUAAGAUGAGUCCGCGUCCCAUUAGCUAGUUGGUGAGGUAAAAGCUUACCAAGGCGACGAUGGGUAGCCGGCCUGAGAGGGUGAACGGCCACAUUGGGACUGAGACACGGCCCAGACUCCUACGGGAGGCAGCAGUGGGGGAUAUUGCACAAUGGGCGAAAGCCUGAUGCAGCGACGCCGCGUGAAGGAUGAAGUAUUUCGGUAUGUAAACUUCUAUCAGCAGGGAAGAAAAUGACG
rnacentral:rRNA from 1 species